GGUUAAGCGACUAAGCGUACACGGUGGAUGCCCUGGCAGUCAGAGGCGAUGAAGGGCGUGCUAAUCUGCGAUAAGCGCCGGUAAGGUGAUAUGAACCGUUAUAACCGGCGAUACCCGAAUGGGGAAACCCAGUGUGAUUCGUCACACUAUCAUUAACUGAAUCCAUAGGUUAAUGAGGCGAACCGGGGGAACUGAAACAUCUAAGUACCCCGAGGAAAAGAAAUCAACCGAGAUUCCCCCAGUAGCGGCGAGCGAACGGGGAGGAGCCCAGAGCCUGAAUCAGCAUGUGUGUUAGUGGAAGCGUCUGGAAAGGCGCGCGAUACAGGGUGACAGCCCCGUACACAAAAGCGCAUGUGCUGUGAGCUCGAUGAGUAGGGCGGGACACGUGGUAUCCUGUCUGAAUAUGGGGGGACCAUCCUCCAAGGCUAAAUACUCCUGACUGACCGAUAGUGAACCAGUACCGUGAGGGAAAGGCGAAAAGAACCCCGGCGAGGGGAGUGAAAAAGAACCUGAAACCGUGUACGUACAAGCAGUGGGAGCACCCUUCGGGGUGUGACUGCGUACCUUUUGUAUAAUGGGUCAGCGACUUAUAUUCUGUAGCAAGGUUAACCGUAUAGGGGAGCCGGAGGGAAACCGAGUCUUAAUUGGGCGUUAAGUUGCAGGGUAUAGACCCGAAACCCGGUGAUCUAGCCAUGGGCAGGUUGAAGGUUGGGUAACACUAACUGGAGGACCGAACCGACUAAUGUUGAAAAAUUAGCGGAUGACCUGUGGCUGGGGGUGAAAGGCCAAUCAAACCGGGAGAUAGCUGGUUCUCCCCGAAAGCUAUUUAGGUAGCGCCUCGUGAAUUCAUCUCCGGGGGUAGAGCACUGUUUCGGCUAGGGGGCCAUCCCGGCUUACCAACCCGAUGCAAACUGCGAAUACCGGAGAAUGUUAUCACGGGAGACACACGGCGGGUGCUAACGUCCGUCGUGAAGAGGGAAACAACCCAGACCGCCAGCUAAGGUCCCAAAGUCAUGGUUAAGUGGGAAACGAUGUGGGAAGGCCCAGACAGCCAGGAUGUUGGCUUAGAAGCAGCCAUCAUUUAAAGAAAGCGUAAUAGCUCACUGGUCGAGUCGGCCUGCGCGGAAGAUGUAACGGGGCUAAACCAUGCACCGAAGCUGCGGCAGCGAACGUAUCACCCAAGACAACUUUACGGAGUUGACGAUUGACGGAGCGAAGCGACGUCAAAGCGUUCAUUAAAGUCGAGUUGGCUUAGGGAUACGUUCGUUGGGUAGGGGAGCGUUCUGUAAGCCUGUGAAGGUGUGUCGUGAGGCAUGCUGGAGGUAUCAGAAGUGCGAAUGCUGACAUAAGUAACGAUAAAGCGGGUGAAAAGCCCGCUCGCCGGAAGACCAAGGGUUCCUGUCCAACGUUAAUCGGGGCAGGGUGAGUCGACCCCUAAGGCGAGGCCGAAAGGCGUAGUCGAUGGGAAACGGGUUAAUAUUCCCGUACUUGGUGUUACUGCGAAGGGGGGACGGAGAAGGCUAUGUUGGCCGGGCGACGGUUGUCCCGGUUUAAGCGUGUAGGUGUGUGUUCCAGGUAAAUCCGGUUCACUUUAACACUGAGGCGUGACGACGAGGCACUACGGUGCUGAAGCAACAAAUGCCCUGCUUCCAGGAAAAGCCUCUAAGCAUCAGGUAACAUCAAAUCGUACCCCAAACCGACACAGGUGGUCAGGUAGAGAAUACCAAGGCGCUUGAGAGAACUCGGGUGAAGGAACUAGGCAAAAUGGUGCCGUAACUUCGGGAGAAGGCACGCUGACACGUAGGUGAAGUGAUUUACUCAUGGAGCUGAAGUCAGUCGAAGAUACCAGCUGGCUGCAACUGUUUAUUAAAAACACAGCACUGUGCAAACACGAAAGUGGACGUAUACGGUGUGACGCCUGCCCGGUGCCGGAAGGUUAAUUGAUGGGGUCAGCGCAAGCGAAGCUCCUGAUCGAAGCCCCGGUAAACGGCGGCCGUAACUAUAACGGUCCUAAGGUAGCGAAAUUCCUUGUCGGGUAAGUUCCGACCUGCACGAAUGGCGUAAUGAUGGCCAGGCUGUCUCCACCCGAGACUCAGUGAAAUUGAACUCGCUGUGAAGAUGCAGUGUACCCGCGGCAAGACGGAAAGACCCCGUGAACCUUUACUAUAGCUUGACACUGAACAUUGAGCCUUGAUGUGUAGGAUAGGUGGGAGGCUUUGAAGUGUGGACGCCAGUCUGCAUGGAGCCGACCUUGAAAUACCACCCUUUAAUGUUUGAUGUUCUAACGUGGACCCGUAAUCCGGGUUGCGGACAGUGUCUGGUGGGUAGUUUGACUGGGGCGGUCUCCUCCUAAAGAGUAACGGAGGAGCACGAAGGUUGGCUAAUCCUGGUCGGACAUCAGGAGGUUAGUGCAAUGGCAUAAGCCAGCUUGACUGCGAGCGUGACGGCGCGAGCAGGUGCGAAAGCAGGUCAUAGUGAUCCGGUGGUUCUGAAUGGAAGGGCCAUCGCUCAACGGAUAAAAGGUACUCCGGGGAUAACAGGCUGAUACCGCCCAAGAGUUCAUAUCGACGGCGGUGUUUGGCACCUCGAUGUCGGCUCAUCACAUCCUGGGGCUGAAGUAGGUCCCAAGGGUAUGGCUGUUCGCCAUUUAAAGUGGUACGCGAGCUGGGUUUAGAACGUCGUGAGACAGUUCGGUCCCUAUCUGCCGUGGGCGCUGGAGAACUGAGGGGGGCUGCUCCUAGUACGAGAGGACCGGAGUGGACGCAUCACUGGUGUUCGGGUUGUCAUGCCAAUGGCACUGCCCGGUAGCUAAAUGCGGAAGAGAUAAGUGCUGAAAGCAUCUAAGCACGAAACUUGCCCCGAGAUGAGUUCUCCCUGAGACUUAGAGUCUCCUGAAGGAACGUUGAAGACGACGACGUUGAUAGGCCGGGUGUGUAAGCGCAGCGAUGCGUUGAGCUAACCGGUACUAAUGAACCGUGAGGCUUAACCUU
rnacentral:rRNA from 4 species